GUGCCGGGCUCAGUCGGUAGAGCAUGAGUCUCUUAAUCUAAAGCUCGUCGGAUUGAGCCCCAUGCUGGGCACC